rnacentral:sRNA from 1 species
UGCGUGGUUAGCCUUCCAUGCUCUUAAUGCUUAACAUUUCACAGCAAUUCUCACAUUCAGAAGCAAACACUUGAAUUCGUUCAUUUCCUUCCUUUCCCUUUUAACACACAAACACAAACUACUUUGUUCAUCAUAUCACAUACCCUUUUCAUUCUUCUUUCUACAAUAAGUGUAGUUUUGUUUUCAUCUUUUUCUGCAUUAUCUACCAAGGCACAAGAAUUAAUCAGCAAAGAUGGUGAUGAUGGGUCUGGGAAGGUUGGUAGGGUCUCUAAAAUCCAAAAUAAGGUCUUUGAAACUGAAGAAACCUUAUGAUAAGAUGGAGAAGAGUGAGAGCAUGAGAGUGGAGAUAAGAAGCAGAAAGGCCAGAAAACUCAUUGAAGAGACCCUAAAAAUUGCUGAUUCUCCUAAGUCCAGAACCUUCGCUUUAUGAUGUAUUAUUGUUCGCUGUAUCUAUUGGUAAAAACUCUUCAAUAAUUAAGCUUCUGCUGUUCAUCUUUAAAUUUCAAUGAUUU